rnacentral:lncRNA from 1 species
CAACAUUUUUAACUCUGUCCGAACAUGAAGAAAUUUUGAACACCUUCUUUGAGAAUGCAACGAACCAAACAAUCUCGCAAACAUCAAAUACAAAACGAUGUAUUCAACCUUUGCAGAAGCCUUGACAUAACAUGAUGCUUAUAUUAGCAAGAUUUCCAGGAAAUCAAUGAAUAUCCGAGAGAAACAGACUGUGAUCGAACCCGUCCCGUGGAAAUUACCCGCCCCAUGGCCCUAAACUGGACAUGCAGGACACCGACCCCAACCCCUAACGCCAAGCACACCAACAACUUCAUAAGUAGUGCCUUCUAGCAUCUAAACAAGAUACUCAUAAUCCGCGUAUGUAAAACUAGAGAAAAAUCUACAAAAUGUAUUUUAGCCGCUACU